rnacentral:rRNA from 1 species
AGAGUUUGAUCAUGGCUCAGAAUCAACGCUGGCGGCGUGCCUAACACAUGCAAGUCGAACGCGAAAGUCCCGCAAGGGAUCAGUAGAGUGGCAAACGGGUGAGUAACACGUGGGUGACCUGCCUUCGAGCGGGGGAUAACGUCCCGAAAGGGACGCUAAUACCGCAUGACAUCCUGCCUUUGAAGAGGUGGAGAUCAAAGCUGGGGAUCGCAAGACCUAGCACUCGAAGAGGGGCCCGCGCCUGAUUAGCUAGUUGGUGGGGUAACGGCUCACCAAGGCGACGAUCAGUAGCCGGCCUGAGAGGGCGGACGGCCACACUGGGACUGAGACACGGCCCAGACUCCUACGGGAGGCAGCAGUGGGGAAUUGUUCGCAAUGGGCGCAAGCCUGACGACGCAACGCCGCGUGGAGGACGAAGACCUUCGGGUCGUAAACUCCUUUCGAUCGAGACGAACGGCCUUCGGGUGAACAAUCCGAAGGAGUGACGGUACCGAGAGAAGAAGCCCCGGCUAACUCCGUGCCAGCAGCCGCGGUAAUACGGGGGGGGCAAGCGUUGUUCGGAAUUACUGGGCGUAAAGGGCUCGUAGGCGGCCAACUAAGUCAGACGUGAAAUCCCUCGGCUUAACCGGGGAACUGCGUCUGAUACUGGAUGGCUUGAGAUUGGGAGAGGGAUGCGGAAUUCCAGGUGUAGCGGUGAAAUGCGUAGAUAUCUGGAGGAACACCGGUGGCGAAGGCGGCAUCCUGGACCAACACUGACGCUGAGGAGCGAAAGCCAGGGGAGCAAACGGGAUUAGAUACCCCAGUAGUCC